AUUGAACGCUGGCGGCAGGCCUAACACAUGCAAGUCGAGCGGAUGAAGGGAGCUUGCUCCUGGAUUCAGCGGCGGACGGGUGAGUAAUGCCUAGGAAUCUGCCUGGUAGUGGGGGAUAAUGUCCGGAAACGGGCGCUAAUACCGCAUACGUCCUGAGGGAGAAAGUGGGGGAUCUUCGGACCUCACGCUAUCAGAUGAGCCUAGGUCGGAUUAGCUAGUUGGUGGGGUAAAGGCCUACCAAGGCGACGAUCCGUAACUGGUCUGAGAGGAUGAUCAGUCACACUGGAACUGAGACACGGUCCAGACUCCUACGGGAGGCAGCAGUGGGGAAUAUUGGACAAUGGGCGAAAGCCUGAUCCAGCCAUGCCGCGUGUGUGAAGAAGGUCUUCGGAUUGUAAAGCACUUUAAGUUGGGAGGAAGGGCAGUAAGUUAAUACCUUGCUGUUCUGACGUUACCAACAGAAUAAGCACCGGCUAACUUCGUG
rnacentral:rRNA from 1 species